GAUCGGCUUUGCUGUCUUCCCCACUCUGGGGCCCAAGGAAAGGAGUAUGAGAGACCAUCUUUCCUAGGAUGCACUGCGGUCCAUUCAGCUUCACUUCCUCUCCUAGCGGAGGAAGGAUACACAGGGAAGCUUUCUCGUCAAAGCCGAGUUAAAGGGGAUGGGUGUCGGAAGCUGAGGGUCUCAAGUUCACGGCUUCUAGAAGGGGAGGGGGAAUAAAAGACUCUCAGUGAGAAGGUCUUCUCAGAACCCUCUAUGCUGAUGACAUUGUGACUGUUUGCAGAGAGCAGCAGUGAUGGCUCCAGAAUGUCUAGGGAGAGGAAGACCUUAGUGUCAAGAGUCUGCUCACAGAAUAAGAUACUAGGAUAUGUCCUUCAGCCACAUCUGUUUUGCUCACUGUUUUAUUUAGAGCUAUACCAGGUUCAGAACCCUUCAGAUCAACUUUAAGUUCAAUAUGUAAAAUAGAUAAAUGCAGUUGAAAUGGGGCAAGGUAAGACUUAUUUCAACCUGAUAGCAUCCCUGCCCUUAUUCCUACCCUCCCCUCCUUCCCCCCCUAGAAGAAGCUCCAGAGGGUACUUUGGAAAUCAUUGGAAAAAUUCAUCCCAUCAUAUAUAACUUAAAAUGCCACAUCUUUAAUAUGCUACAUUAAAAUUUUUAUUUCAAAUUU